CCCAUCGGUCCCCUUGUGCUACGGUGAGUACACCAGUUCCCGUCCGAUCACUGAAGCUAAGCUUGGUUAAGCGUGUUCAGUACUUGGAUGGAUUACCUUUUGGGAUAUCACAUGUUGUUGGUU
rnacentral:rRNA from 1 species